GAGGGGAGGGGUAGAGAGAGAAGAUGGAAACAGAGAAAGGAAUGGAGAGGGCGAGUGGGAUGGAAUUAAUUUGAGGGUGAGAGAGUGAGGGUGUUCAGGCGGAGGGUGAGAGAGUGAGGGUGUUCAGGCGGCAUGGUUGAGGGAGAAGUAUGCGGGGAGGCUCUUUUAAGAGAGGGGGUGUAAGGUACCGAACUUCUGAAAUUAUGAAGUUACGGUGGGAUGUAGUAUACCGAAAUUUAAUAUAAAAUUAAGUGUAAAUAAAAAUAGUGUGAGAUACUAUUUUUAUUAGACUUAAGGGUGUAAGGUAUAAGUUGGUAAUGACUUGUGCUGAAAUCGGAGCGAAAACAGAAGAUUUAGAAUUUUCUAUAAGAGACGGGGUAGAUAAAUUAGCAAAAAAUGUACAGUGUCAGAAAAUUAUGAAAACUGGAAGAUAUGUCAGAAUUAUUUUAUAAGGCUAGAUUUAGCCCCCGUUUGGUUCGGGGUUAAGAAAAAGUAGCUAUUCCAGGGAUAGGGUUAAGUUCAGGGUUAAAAUGGUGUUAAAAUUUUUUUGUGUUUUGUUGGAGGUUGGAGUUAGUAUAGGAUAGUGAAAAAAAGUGUUUGGUUGGAAUAGGUGGGAUAAAAAGAUAAUGAUUGAUAAAGAAGAAAAAGGUGAGAGCUCGGGAUGCGUGCGGGGUUAAAGUUGGGAGGGGGAGUGGGGUUAAUGAUUGAUAAAGAAAAAAAAUGUGAGGGCUCGGGAUGCGUGCGGGGUUAAAGUUGGGAGGGGGG
rnacentral:lncRNA from 1 species